rnacentral:rRNA from 1 species
GACGAACCGUGCGAACGUUGUUCGGAUUCACUGGGCUUAAAGGGCGCGUAGGCGGGUCAACAAGUCAGGGGAGAAAGCUUUCGGCUCAACCGGAAAAGUGCCUUUGAUACUGUUGAUCUGGAGUGAGGGAGGGGCAUGCGGAACAGUGGGUGGAGCGGUGAAAUGCGUAGUAUUCCACUGGAACGCCGGUGACGAAAGCGGCGUGCUGGAACUCGACUGCAGCUGAGGCGCCAAAGCUAGGGGAGCAAACGGG